rnacentral:tRNA from 1 species
UCCUCUCUAGCUCAGGGGUUAGAGCGUUUGGCUGUUAACCAAAAAGUCGCAGGUUCGAUUCCUGCGAGAGGAG